GAUGAACGCUGGCGGCGUGCCUAAUACAUGCAAGUCGAGCGAACGGACGAGAAGCUUGCUUCUCUGAUGUUAGCGGCGGACGGGUGAGUAACACGUGGAUAACCUACCUAUAAGACUGGGAUAACUUCGGGAAACCGGAGCUAAUACCGGAUAAUAUUUUGAACCGCAUGGUUCAAAAGUGAAAGACGGUCUUGCUGUCACUUAUAGAUGGAUCCGCGCUGCAUUAGCUAGUUGGUAAGGUAACGGCUUACCAAGGCAACGAUGCAUAGCCGACCUGAGAGGGUGAUCGGCCACACUGGAACUGAGACACGGUCCAGACUCCUACGGGAGGCAGCAGUAGGGAAUCUUCCGCAAUGGGCGAAAGCCUGACGGAGCAACGCCGCGUGAGUGAUGAAGGUCUUCGGAUCGUAAAACUCUGUUAUUAGGGAAGAACAUAUGUGUAAGUAACUGUGCACAUCUUGACGGUACCUAAUCAGAAAGCCACGGCUAACUACGUGCCAGCAGCCGCGGUAAUACGUAGGUGGCAAGCGUUAUCCGGAAUUAUUGGGCGUAAAGCGCGCGUAGGCGGUUUUUUAAGUCUGAUGUGAAAGCCCACGGCUCAACCGUGGAGGGUCAUUGGAAACUGGAAAACUUGAGUGCAGAAGAGGAAAGUGGAAUUCCAUGUGUAGCGGUGAAAUGCGCAGAGAUAUGGAGGAACACCAGUGGCGAAGGCGACUUUCUGGUCUGUAACUGACGCUGAUGUGCGAAAGCGUGGGGAUCAAACAGGAUUAGAUACCCUGGUAGUCCACGCCGUAAACGAUGAGUGCUAAGUGUUAGGGGGUUUCCGCCCCUUAGUGCUGCAGCUAACGCAUUAAGCACUCCGCCUGGGGAGUACGACCGCAAGGUUGAAACUCAAAGGAAUUGACGGGGACCCGCACAAGCGGUGGAGCAUGUGGUUUAAUUCGAAGCAACGCGAAGAACCUUACCAAAUCUUGACAUCCUUUGACAACUCUAGAGAUAGAGCUUUCCCCUUCGGGGGACAAAGUGACAGGUGGUGCAUGGUUGUCGUCAGCUCGUGUCGUGAGAUGUUGGGUUAAGUCCCGCAACGAGCGCAACCCUUAAGCUUAGUUGCCAUCAUUAAGUUGGGCACUCUAAGUUGACUGCCGGUGGCAAACCGGAGGAAGGUGGGGAUGACGUCAAAUCAUCAUGCCCCUUAUGAUUUGGGCUACACACGUGCUACAAUGGACAAUACAAAGGGCAGCGAAACCGCGAGGUCAAGCAAAUCCCAUAAAGUUGUUCUCAGUUCGGAUUGUAGUCUGCAACUCGACUACAUGAAGCUGGAAUCGCUAGUAAUCGUAGAUCAGCAUGCUACGGUGAAUACGUUCCCGGGUCU
rnacentral:rRNA from 1 species